GAUAUAACUUCUAUCUUGCUAAAGAAUAAAAGUUGUUCGGCAUUCUUUUCAGAAAAGGAGUACCUUGAUGAAGGUACUGAUGCCUUUAAUAUGAAACAAAUAAAGUUUGAUAGAUAAAAGAACCAACACAAUCUAGUGAACCCAUAGAACCAGAUUUGAUCAGAUCAAAGUCGAAACCUAUUGUAGAGGCACUAUUAAGGA
rnacentral:lncRNA from 1 species